UCUAUUUGGAAGGAGAAUCAAUAGAAUUUUGAAAAAGAUGAGAUUUUGUUUUUAGAAGGAUAUCACAUAUAUUAUUUCCAUGGGGGAAUUGGUUACAAAAGGGAAGGAAAUAAGAAAGGAAAGUGGAUUUUUGGAUCAGAGAAGUUUUCUUUUUGGAGGGAUAUUUUUUUUAUUAUAGAGAGACACAAAAAGGAAGAAAAUGAGGGGAUUCGUCCAGCCGAUUUGGGGGCUUCUUUGGGAAGGCUGAUAUACGUAAGAGAGGAAAAAGAAAGGGGAGGAGGAUUCUUUGAUUGUCAAGGGUGGAAAGGUGCACAAGAGCGGAAGAGGGAGAUUGCAGCCAGGGUUCUGCCAGGAGUUGUUCUUGCUGAUUGGAGUGGACAUUGAGAGCCACUUAUUUGCGUUGUUGAAUCGAAAUUUCCUUCAAGCUUGCUCUGUUAUGAUUGUGUUCUUGAUUUCUCUGAUUUUUUUUUUUAUAAAUAGCUGAAACAGAGACUUAUGUUUGAACUUUAAUGUUUGUGGAAUCUUGAUAUAAUUUUAACUAAGUUUGUCUUAACGUGUUCAGAUUCUUCAAAGCCCUUUUGAAAAUAAUGAAAUGUGGCUUAUCUGCUUACCCACCUUUAUAUCUAUUGCUUUGUUUUUUUCUUGGAUUAUUUUUAUUUUUAUUUUUUUUCUUCUUUGCUUCUGCAUCCAUAUUUCUUCCAUUUCCCCUUUGGUAUCCUGGGCUACAGACCAUGAUGAUAUGAAUAUUCCAAGAAAGGCAGAAACUUCUUAAAAGCUGUGUAUAACAGGGUUGCUUGGGGUCAGACGGCUGUAGAGAUUUAAACUAUGAAGAUGACCCUCUAGUAUUUAUUUUGCUUGUAUGAUUGAUAGAAGAAAAUCUAUAACUUUUUGGGUAAAAAAGAGCAUCAGGUCAUCUCUACACUGGAACUGUCCCACUGAGUGCCUGCAACAAGAGAUCGAACCACGGUUUUAUCAUAAAGAGCAGUUGUAUCUUUCAUGUGAUGAUGAUCAUGCCAUUGACAUCGAGGUUUGCCCCAGAUGCCCAAAAGUGAGAUUAAUAUAUGAUUGCCCAUCAGAAAGUUGCCAAGGGAAACAUCAAUCUACUUAGUUGUGCAGAGCUUGCACUUUGUGCAUAGCACGCUGUUUUCAUUGCGGGUGUUAUAUUAAUGACUGUGACUAUGAGGAGACCUUCUGCCUGAACUUGCUCUGUUUAGUUUGUUUCAAGCAGUUACUGAAUUGACAAGAGAGACAGGAAGAAAUGGGUGCCCAUUCCUCUAAGCACACUAUUUUUCAUCAAGAGAUAAGCCAUCUAUUGAUUACGCUCUUGGAUGGCAAGAAAUCCUGUUUUAUUGUGAAGAAUUCGCACUGCAGAGCUGUAACUCCCAUCAGAGACUGUUUGUCUUGCUUGGUUGACGUAUUUGAUGAACUUAGCUUCAAUGGAUAUUUGAUGUAUAAGCAUUUUUCAAGACAAGGUAACCCUAUGGUACUUUGGCUCCUGUAGUGGGAGAUUGCGUUUAGUAAAGCCAGAGGAAAACAGAGUUGUUUGAAUGUGUUUUUGGUUAUGAAGUGAUAUUUUUCUGGGAAUGAAGAUGAAAUGUGCAGCCAGAUAUCAUCUAUUGAAGAAAAUAUGUAUAAUUUAAGAGAAAAAUCAUCCAGCAUGGAUCCUGAUUACAAAAGCCUCCAUGUUACUGACAAUGAGAUUCAAACAAUUCCUUGGGCAUCAAUUCUUAAAAGGUUGUUCAGUCACAAAAUUCACAACUUUGUGUAGUUAAGGAUCUUUCUGCUCAUGACGUGGUGAUGCGAUUGAUGCGGAAGGAGAAUUACUUAAUUGGAAUGCUCCAUAAGAGAGUUCUUGCUUUCCCAAUAUCUCGUUGAGUCCCAUGUGCUGGACCAACUGUUAAGUUUGGCUCAAAUGGAGUGCAGCAUCAUCUGAUACUGACAAAGGCCCUUGAAUGGACCUUGAAUUGGUGCAGACUGCAGAGCAUGUUUAAUAGGAACUUUUGUGCUCGAAGGGACUUUGUUUCUAAUCCUAAAACAUUGAAGAAAAGGCUUAUGGUUGUUGAGAUUGUGAUGCUUCUUCUUUUUCUGUUUCUUGUCAUAUUCGUUCUGGUGUUUUGCUUCUUGGGGCAUGCUGAAUAGUUUUAUAAUCAUCCCACCACAACAUCAUCUCGGAGAUGGUCAAAUUUGUCAAAGUGAAUCUUUAGAGAAUUCAAUGAGAAGGCCAUAUAUUUGGUGGUAACUUGUUUUGGUAUGAUGCUGUUUUUAGAACUAUAACAGCUAUUAGAGGGGCUGCUGUAACAGAUGAGCUUCUGAUCCUUGAUCCAGAAGAGACAAUGUCUUUGGUGGUCCAACAUACAUACUAUUUGCCAAAAGAUGGCGUGGAAAGGAAAAUUCUGAGUUGGUUAGAAUGGAAUUUGAAAUCUUGUUUCAGUGUACUAGAAUGAUGUUACUGGAGGAGAUCGCAUCAAAUAUUUUUUUUUUUCUUAUUCCUUGUUUGCUCUUAUUUGCUGUUCCAAAGCGGGUGGAUGACAUUUUUCAGUUCAUUGAAGAUUACACAGUUCAUGUUGAGGGUUGUGAUCUAUGCCUAGAUGAUUUUGAUGCCCAGUUACAACUUCUGAAUGCAGGCAUCAAUUGAAGGUCUUGAUUCUCUA